ACAGGGCGUGAACCGCUUAGAAGGAAACAGGUGGUGCUGACAUUACGUUUGUCCGGAUUCAGCCGGUCCGACGGUGGACCGCUGGCUCGUCGAUCGGAAGACCAAGUGCGGCAGCGCUUCGAUCCGGCUAGGAUUGGUGCACUUUCGGCAGGCUGCGUCACGACCGACAGCUCGCGUCCGGAAGACGUGCGUUUUGCUGAAGACGGCGGGGCUUGGCAUUGCUGUGACUGGCCUUCCCGCUCGGUCCCGGUUCGACGUCGCCGGGAAUAGGCCGCGUCCGCUUCGCGCCCGUUCCUGUGCUGUCUCAUGGUCAGUCGGACUGUGGUUGUGUGCUUGCUCGUUGCUGUGACUCCCGGCUGUGACUGCGGCGCAUGUUGAGUGGCACAGAUGGUCUGUGGCGUCCGCGUCAGUCUCCCACCCGACCCGUCUUGAAACACGGACCAAGGAGUCUAACAUGACCGCAAGUCAUGGGGUCGAAAACCCAAAGGCGCAAUUAAAGUAAAGGUCGGCCCUAGCUGAUCGAGGUGAGAUCCUGGCUGCUUGUGGAUAGCCGCAUCACUGUCCCAUCGCAUCGGCUUGCCCGAGCGGUGGCGAAAGAGCGUGCAUGUUAGGACCCGAAAGAUGGUGAACUAUGCCUGAGAAGGAUGAAGCCAGAGGAAACCUCUGUGGAGGUCCGUAGCGGUUCUGACGUGCAAAUCGAUCGUCAAACUUGGGUAUAGGGCGAAAGCCUAAUCGAACCAUCUAGUAGCUGUUUCCUUUCCGA
rnacentral:rRNA from 1 species